GGCGGACGGGUGCGUAACACGUUGGAAUAAUCUGCCCUUCAGUGGGGAAUAACACUCCGAAAGGAGUGCUAAUGCCGCAUGUCACAGCGUGGUCUCUGGACCGCGUUGGAAAAGGGGACGCCCGCAAGGGGUUCUCGCUGGAGGAUGAGUCCGCGGCCCAUCAGCUAGUUGGCGGGGUAAUGGCCCACCAAGGCAAAGACGGGUAGCUGGUCUGAGAGGAUGGCCAGCCACACUGGGACUGAGACACGGCCCAGACUCCUACGGGAGGCAGCAGUGGGGAAUAUUGGACAAUGGGCGAAAGCCUGAUCCAGCCAUGCCGCGUGAGUGAUGAAGGUCUUCGGAUCGUAAAGCUCUGU
rnacentral:rRNA from 1 species